rnacentral:lncRNA from 1 species
CUUUUUUCUUACGCCAGCUACUUUUCUAUAGACUACUAAGUUAUUCGACCAUCUACUCUCUCUUAUAUAGAUCACCUUCCCCCACCCCAGCAGCUGGCCCCCACCUAAUGUUUAUUUACAACUAGGCAAUUAAAUACGCCGACUGACUGGGGAGGACCCAUUCUCCCAGCUCUAAAAGCUUUAUUUAUCACUUUUAACUAUUUUAAUUCGACAAAUAUAUCGGAAUAAAAUAUCUAUUUCUCUAUUUCGGAAAACCCGAGUUAGAAAAAACGACAGAUCGAUGACCAGCUGGCGAGUUACAGGGAAUGCCGAUUGAUUAAAAAAAAAGUUAUUGCGAAAUUUGGCACGGUUGGGAGCGGGCCAUAUUUUCGUAGUCGGAUGGAUAGGAAGAAGCGGACCGUGGUCCAAACGAUCGCUCGUAAUUUGGUUUCUCCAAUUUUUAUGACGCUGAUAUUUGGAAAAGCGGAUUCCGACCAGUGUGUCCAUCCCCGACACCACGGAAUUUUUGCCGCCAUAUGGCUUAAUAUGGGAAACUUUUCAGGCGUAUGUUUCCAAACGAUGAUAAAAUUAUUGAUCUGGCAAUUUUAACGAAGAAUAAACAAUAGCCAUACACUUAAAGAGAAUUAAUAAUUUAUUUAUCACUAUUUUUAAGGUUUUCGGUUUUAAUUAAAUUUGUCAGGAGUAAUAAACGAGAUGGAUCAAAAAUCGUUCGGCCAUCGAUGGGUCGAACAUCCCCGUUAUAUACAAUAUUCGGUUAGCGUCCAUUGUUCUCGCUGGAAAUUUCAAAUGUUUGUUGAAAACAAAAUAAAAAUUUAAUUGAAAUAUUUCGUUGGUUAAAUCGGAAAUGCGUUAAACUAAAGUUUUACUCUACUGUUGAAUAAACCACCAUCACCGGGC